UCGUUAUCGACAAGUUAUCGAUAAUUUCCCUUUACGUCUCCCCCGUCUUGUCUAUGUUCAAGGUUAAUCGACAAAAUCGCAACCAUGAAAAAUCGUUUGGACAAAAUUGUAGCGAUUUAGUCGAUUAAAGCUUAUCGAUCAGGAAAAGGACCCCGCUAGCGUGAAAAAAAUUGUAAAAAGUUGUCAAAGGAAAUAAUCCUAACCUUAAAUACUCUCUUUGGCAUCGUGUUGGCAUCACAAAAUAUUUGUAUUUAACAUUAUAUUCUUUUCUAAUAAUUCUAGGUUUUCUUAAAAAAUGACGAUGGAAACAAAACGAAUGAGAGUAACCUCAAGACACUGGGAUUUACUUCUAGAUAUAUUAGCAGAACACCCUGAAAUGGUAACAGGGAAAUUUGUAUGCCAAAAUGCUAAACAAAAAUCUUUGGAAUUGUGGAAGGAUGCAGCUACUCGACUGAAUGCCUUAGGAUUAGGAGAAAAAUCUCCAGAUAAGUGGAAGCUGGCACUUCAAGACUGGAAAUAUAAAGUUAAAACAAAAGUUGCGGAAAUAAAAGAACACGAAAAAAAA